rnacentral:rRNA from 1 species
GAUGAACGCUGGCGGCGUGCUUAACACAUGCAAGUCGAACGAAGCACUUAAGUCAGAUUCUUCGGAUGAAGACUUUUGUGACUGAGUGGCGGACGGGUGAGUAACGCGUGGGUAACCUGCCUCAUACAGGGGGAUAACAGUUAGAAAUGACUGCUAAUACCGCAUAAGACCACAGCACCGCAUGGUGCAGGGGUAAAAACUCUGGUGGUAUGAGAUGGACCCGAGUCUGAUUAGCUGGUUGGUGGGGUAACGGCCUACCAAGGCGACGAUCAGUAGCCGACCUGAGAGGGUGACCGGCCACAUUGGGACUGAGACACGGCCCAAACUCCUACGGGAGGCAGCAGUGGGGAAUAUUGCACAAUGGGGGAAACCCUGAUGCGGCGACGCCGCGUGAAGGAUGAAGUAUUUCGGUAUGUAAACUUCUAUCAGCAGGUAAGAAAAUGACGGUACCUGACUAAGAAGCCCCGGCUAACUACGUGCCAGCCGCCGCCGUAA